CCUACGGGUGGCAGCAGUCGAGAAUCAUUCACAAUGGGGGAAACCCUGAUGGAGCGACGCCGCGUGGGGGAAUGAAGGUCUGCGGAUUGUAAACCCCUGUCAUGUGGGAGCAAAGUAAAAAGAUAGUACCACAAGAGGAAGAGACGGCGAACGCGGGCCCAGCAGCCGCGGGAAUACAGAGGUCUCAAGCGUUGUUCGGAACCACUGGGCGUAAAGAGGGCGUAGGCUGUUUCGUACGUCGGGUGUGAAAGGCGCGGGCUCAACCCGCGGACGGCACCUGAUACUGCGAGACUAGAGUACUGGAGGGGGAACCGGCAUUCUCGGUGUAGCUGUGAACUGCGUAGAUAUCGCG
rnacentral:rRNA from 1 species